GCCACAUAGCCAGCCAAGCCAGCCAAGCCAGC
rnacentral:piRNA from 1 species